rnacentral:rRNA from 1 species
GGCCAAAUUCCUACGGGAGGCAGCAGUGAGGAAUAUUGAGCAAUGGGCGAAAGCCAGACUCAGCAACGCCGCGUGGACGAUGAAGGCCUUCGGGUCGUAAAGUCCUUUUCAGGGGGACGAGAGAGGACGGUACCCCUGGAAUAAGUCACGGCUAACAACGUGCCAGCAGCCGCGGUAAAACGUAGGUAGCAAGCGUUAUCCGGAUUCAUUGGGCGUAAAGCGCCUGCAGGCGGUUCUGUAAGUGGGAUGUGAAAUCUCCCGGCUCAACUGGGAGGGGCCAUUCCAUACUGCAGAACUUGAGGGCAGAAGAGGGAAGCGGAAUUCCCGGUGUAGUGGUGAAAUGCGUAGAUAUCGGGAGGAACACCAGUGGCGAAGGCGGCUUCCUGGUCUGCUCCUGACGCUAAGAGGCGAAAGCUAGGGGAGCGAACGGGAUUAGAAACCCCGGUAGUCCUAGCCGUAAACGAUGGAUGCUAGGUGUAGGUGGUCCUAACCCCAUCUGUGCCGAAGCUAACGCGUUAAGCAUCCCGCCUGGGGACUACGGCCGCAAGGUUAAAACUCAAAGGAAUUGACGGGGGCCCGCACAAGCAGCGGAGCGUGUGGUUUAAUUCGAUUCUACACGAAGAACCUUACCCAGGUUUGACAUGCAGGUAGUAGUGAAGCGAAAGCGGAACGACCCUUCGGGGAGCCUGCACAGGUGCUGCAUGGCUGUCGACAGCUCGUGCCGUGAGGUGUUUGGUUAAGUCCAGUAACGAGCGCAACCCCUGUUGUCAGUUACAUGUGUCUGACGAGACAGCCGGUCUUAAGCCGGAGGAAGGUGGGGAUGACGUCAAGUCAGCAUGGCCUUUAUAUCUGGGGCUACACACACGCUACAAUGGCCAGUACAAUGGGUCGCCAACCCGCGAGGGGGAGCCAAUCCUAAAAAGCUGGUCUCAGUUCGGAUUAGAGGCUGCAACCCGCCUCUAUGAAGUCGGAGUUGCUAGUAAACGCAGGUCAGCCAUACUGCGUUGAAUACGUUCCCGGGCCUUGUACACACCGCCCGUCACGUCAUGGGAGCUGGUAACACCUGAAGCCGGUGAGCUAACCGCAAGGAAGCAGCCGUCGAGGGUGGGACUGGUGACUGGGACGAAGUCGUAACAAGGUAGCUGUAGCGGAAGCUGCGGCUG